ensembl:lncRNA
AUGACACUCUGUCUUCCUCCUUCCCAUUCUGCAGGAGUUGCUGGCGAGCGGCAGACCACCACAGCGGCGGCAUCUGGCGGUUCAGGUGUUGCAGCAGCUAUGUCGUCUAACAUUCAGGAUAUGAGCGCUUCCAGCAGUCAGUCAGCGGGAGGUGGGGGGAAUUAUGGAACAGCGGGAAGUUCUGCAGGUCAUGGAAGUGAAUCUUCGAUGGACUCAGAAGCUGGAGUUGAGAGCAGCUCAACAACACAAACAGGUUCUGACGGAGUGGACUCAGAGUCCAACGGUAACGGACAGAAACUGAUGAAUGGAGGGGAUGUAGGGGGCGGAGCUGACAGUCAGACAGGUCCGCUGGAUUCCGCAGUGAUGAGUUCGGGUGUGACAGCAGCUCAGUCUGUGGAUAAGAGCAGCGGUUUCAGUCUGGACUCUCUUUCAGAUCCUGCUUAUCACUCUGACAUCAGCAUCAACCAAUCAGGACCAGACCACAGCUCUUUGAGCUCAGCGCCCGACCAAUCACAUUCCAGCUCUUUCUCUGUCUCAGGCUUCUCCCACUUUGCAGUCCAGGGGGAUGUAGCAGAUUCAUCAUCUUCAUCCCACAGUGAAGCUCAAAGAGUACAGACAGACGGAGCCGACCUACCCAACACUAACGGAAUCGGUCGACAGACUUUGCUGACGAACACAAACGGAGAGGUUCUGGUAAUGUCAGCAAGUGGAGCGGAGUCCGGUCUUCACACCGAGCUCACAGCGUCAGGUCUUGGACUUCAGCCAAAUGUCACAGUGUCGCCCCUCGCUGUCCUCCACACAGACACACUGCCCUCAGUUUCGCAUGGGUACUCCCACACAGAGCUGGUUAGCAUGGCAACAGACUCCACAGGGACAUACACAGUUUCAGCAGAUCCAACAGGAACUCCAUUUGACUUCAGUCAUCCAGCUGUGACGGAUCACACACAGAUGGCUGGUAAGUUUUACAAAUUUUGUGGUUGGAACCAAUCGUGUGCGUGCUUACGUGUGUGUGUGUGUGUGUGGAAGAGGAGCAGCUUUAAGUCAGGCUAGUUAAUAAGUGUUUAUAGUGGUGGCCCAUGGAGUAGAGAGGGUACGCUGGGAACCGCAAGGUUGGCAGUUCAAACCCUGGCUGCACCAUGUCCCAUGUUGAAGUGUCCCUGAGCAAGACACCAUACCCCUUAUUGCAAUAG